GGGAAGCUGAUGAUUUCACCCACUAGUAUAGCAUUACAACUUUACAGCUUCCCAAUCCAUGCACUUUUUUGAAACUUGUAAGGAUAUGGGUUUUCACAGAAAAUAUAUAAAUAACGGAAUCUACUGAUGACAGGCAUCACUGAUGCCAAGAGAUAGGAGGUUUCAUAAAAAGGUUCCAAAUUUUUGUGAAUAACAAGAUACCUGUAACUGUUAUGGCUUAUGCACAUAUUUAUUUUAGCCUUGAGACAUAAAUUUCCAGCUUUAUCUAGAGUAUGUUAGCACCUAACAAUUAACUUUUACUAGGAACAUUUUUUUUCCUUUCCUUAAUACAGCAUUUCUGCCUCUAAAGUAUUGGUCCCUGCUGGAGACAGGAUAAGAAAAGCCCACCAGCUGCUGCCUUGAAAGGAAAAGGAUCUGGACAAAUGGAUACAAUUCUUCCCCUGAUACUCGCCCAACUAUGAGCUGGUUUCAGCUCAAAGUGUUUCUGAGCUGGGUAUAGUUUCCAUGGGUUUAAGAACCCCCAGUGGACUCCUCUCCCAAGAACUUCUCCAGCCUCCCCUUGAAGACACAUAAACUUGUAACCUCCACAACACCUUUUGGCAAGGAGUUGCACAGGUCUGGCACCUGUCCCAUGAAGAACCACCUCUCUUUUAAUCCCCAUCUACCUUCUUCAUAUUGUUGGUUAUUUAUCAUAUUCUACUCCUCUCCCCCAGUCUGAGUUUUGACUAGAUGGGGUACUUCUUUUAAAAUUCUUGAUAGGAAAAGUACAAAUCAAAUCAUAUUAGUUUGGAACUGCUUAAGUGGGCAAAAAGAGGGAAGCAUUUCCUUUAUCAAAGUUAGACAUGCUCCCAGGCACUGGGGACUACUGGGGUGCCACUUACUCAUCUCCCAGCAGAGAGCACUUUCUAAAGGCAACAUAAGCUCGUGGAUUUCUGUCCACUCGCACUUAAAUAGCUCCCUCUGAUGGACAUAGCUCACAAUUGGCCUUGACCAGGCAAAAGGGGCUAGGUUUGGAUACUGGGAGACACUGGCUAGAAGCUG